rnacentral:lncRNA from 7 species
UCCAAUAUAAAACGUUGUACAAGAUCAUCCAGACAGAGAAACUUAUUAUUCAGUGUAGUACAGAUAAACUUAUUCGAACACACUGCCUGUUUGGGCCACACACACACUCACACAGUUUGCUCAUCUCGUUCUGAACGAGAUGCCGCAGCUGAACACAGCAGCAGGCAGAGAGGAAGAGAAACAGGCCCUCCUGCCUUCCUCGUCUUCUGCGAGG